rnacentral:rRNA from 1 species
UACGUAGGGGGCAAGCGUUGUCCGGAUUUACUGGGCGUAAAGCGUGCGCAGGCGGUUGGCAAAGUCAGCUGUGAAAGCCCCGGGCUUAACCUGGGAAUGGCGGUUGAAACUAGUCGACUCGAAUCUGGCAGAGGGGGGUGGAAUUCCACGUGUAGCAGUGAAAUGCGUAGAUAUCGUUUGGAACGCCAAUGGUGAAAACAGACAGCUGGGAGUGUGCUGACGCUGAGACACGAAAGCCAGGGGAGCGAACGGG